rnacentral:rRNA from 1 species
GGGAACUGCGUUGCAUGGGCCGGGGUAAGAAGGGGGAGCCGAUCGUGAAUCGGAAGUACUGGGCGUAAAGCGUGCGCAGGCGGGUGGUUAAGCGAGAUGUGAAAGGCCUGGGCUCAACCGAGGAAUAGUAGUUCGAACUGGCGAACUAGAGUCGUGUAGAGGGGGGUAGAAUUGCAGGUGUAGCGGUGAAGUGCGUAGAGAUCUGGAGGAAUACCGGUGGCGAAGGCGGCCCCCUGGACAAAGACUGACGCUCAUGCACGAAAGCGUGGGGAGCAAACAGGAUUAGAUACCCUAGUAGUC